CGGGUAGUAGUGGGCCUAUUUGGAAACCUGAUCCUCUGCUCUGUCUCUCUCGGGACAAAUUUAGUCGGGAUAAAUGGAUCGUCAUGCAAAGGAGGACACACCGACACACACACACAAUGCUGUGAUAUUAACACUGUAUCCGCCUGGGUUAUUGAGGUAACAACCACACAAGUUUAUUGUGAUCCAGCUUGGAAAUCCUUUAUCUUUCGGGCUUCAUUUUUCUCCUACAGACUGUUGGCCCUAACAUCAGAGACGAUGACAGAGAUAUGUCUAUACCUGGACUGCUUCUCCGAGGAGAGGAAACUGUACACGGCAGAAUCACUGAACGACCUCCACAAGGUGAACGUGUGCUCCGACCCCAAGGACCUGCUGAAACUCAUAGCAGUCACAGCAAGGACACAAAUUAGAUGAGCUCUGGUAUGUCUCCACACCGCAUGCCACGGAGGAUGACAGAUAUUCUCAUGGGAAAUCACCAGGGUCCAGCCUGAUUUUCAGAUUUUUACAGCUGGGGGCAACUGACUCGCCCGUCUCCCCUCCACCCUCC
rnacentral:lncRNA from 1 species